rnacentral:rRNA from 1 species
GACCUCGGAUCAGGUAGGGAUACCCGCUGAACUUAAGCAUAUCAAUAAGGGAGGAAAAGAAACCAACAGGGAUUGCCUCAGUAACGGCGAGUGAAGCGCAACAGCUCAAAUUUGAAAUCUGGCCUCUUCGGGGUCCGAGUUGUAAUUGUAGAGAGUGUUUCGGGUGAGACCACGGUCUAAGUCCAUUGGAACAUGGGUCAUAGAGGGUGAGAAUCCCGUAUGUGACUGUGGAUCGAGCCCAUGUGAGCCUCUUCGACGAGUCGAGUUGUUUGGGAAUGCAGCUCAAAAUGGGUGUAAAUUUCAUCUAAAGCUAAAUACUGGCUGGAGACCGAUAGCGCACAAGAGAGUGAUCGAAAGAUGAAAAGCACUUGGAAAGAGAGUCAAAAAGUACGGAAAUUGUUGAAAGGGAAGCGCUUGCAACCAGACCUGCCCGUAGGUGAUAGCCGCUGUUCUCAGUGGUGCACUCGCUCUGCGAUCAGGCCAGCAUCGGUCUGGCGGUCGGAUAAAGGCCUUGGGAAUGUAGCUUCCCCCGGGAAGUCUAUAGCCCUCGGUGCAAUGCGGCCAGCCGGGACCGAGGACCGCGCUUCGCUAGGAUGCUGGCGUAAUGGUUGUAAGCGACCCGUCUUGAAACACGGACAAGGAGUCUAACAUCUAUGCGAGUGUUUGGGUGUCAAACCCAUGCGCGGAUGAAAGUGAACGGAGGUGAGAACCCUUAAGGGCGCAUCAUCGACCGAUCAGAUGUCUUCGGAUGGAUUUGAGUAUGAGCAUAGCUGUUGGGACCCGAAGGUACGUUCAAACUCCCCCCUUCCCUUUGUGUAGAAUUUUAGCUAACUGUCCUUCAGAUGGUGAACUAUGCCUGAAUAGGGUGAAGCCAGAGGAAACCUGGUGGAGGCUCGCAGCGGUUCUGACGUGCAAAUCGAUCGUCAAAUUUGGUAUAGGGGCGAAAGACUAAUCGAACCAUCUAGUAG